rnacentral:rRNA from 1 species
UACGUCGGAGACGAGCGUUGUCCGGAGUUACUGGGCGUAAAGCGUGCGCAGGCGGUUGUGCAAGACAGAUGUGAAAUCCCCGGGCUCAACCUGGGAAUUGCAUUUGUGACUGCACGGCUAGAGUGUGUCAGAGGGGGGUAGAAUUCCACGUGUAGCAGUGAAAUGCGUAGAGAUGUGGAGGAAUACCGAUGGCGAAGGCAGCCCCCUGGGAUAACACUGACGCUCAUGCACGAAAGCGUGGGGAGCAAACAGG